AUUGAACGCUGGCGGCAGGCCUAACACAUGCAAGUCGAGCGGGGUUUUCGGACCUAGCGGCGGACGGGUGAGUAAUGCGUAGGAAGCUACCCGACAGAGGGGGAUACCAGUUGGAAACGACUGUUAAUACCCGCAUAAUGUCUACGGACCAAAGUGUGGGACCUUCGGGCCACAUGCUGUCGGAUGCGCCUACGUGGGAUUAGCUAGUUGGUGAGGUAAUGGCUCACCAAGGCGACGAUCCCUAGCUGGUUUGAGAGGAUGAUCAGCCACACUGGAACUGAGACACGGUCCAGACUCCUACGGGAGGCAGCAGUGGGGAAUAUUGGACAAUGGGCGCAAGCCUGAUCCAGCCAUGCCGCGUGUGUGAAGAAGGCC
rnacentral:rRNA from 1 species